ACCAAUGAUUUGCUGCUGCUGUUAUUUAAUGUUAUUAUCAUACAGUUACAGUACAAGAACAUCAGAGUAUAUUGUACAUAAUACAUUGGCUAGCUGCAGGGUCAGUGAUGCGAGUGAACAUUUCCCCCGUUGUUGUAUCAGUGUUAUCCGUGAGGCGGAGGUGGCACGAUCCUCCGGUGUACGGCGCGAUCGAAGGCGACCGUGGGUUUGAUCCACCGAUCGUUUGCUUCGCUAAUCAUGUGAUGAUGGAAACGUGCACAGUAUCAUCAUAUACGAGCUUUCCUGUUUCGUCGACCCAUAGGAACGGUUAAAUCUGUUGGCAGGGUCGGCAGUGGCAACCGGAGAUGUGGACUCGACAAAUGACAAGCACAAAUACCAUCGCUAAUCAUAAUGCACUGGCUAAGACAGGUCUGGCUCUGACCCUACCGAAGCCCGUGGCCGGGAGGGUCUGCCGCAUCGCGCUCCGCCGCCCCCCACCACGUACGGCUAGCGGCGGCACAUGGGUGAGGGCUGGGGGCACGACGGCGACGGCGACGGCUUGCCUUGCUCGAUCCGUCGACCAUGUGCCGGGCGCCGGGGCACGGCGUUCAGCUGCGCUUGGGCAGAGGCAGGCGCCCCGUCGUAUUCGUAUCGAAUCAUGUGGUGUAUCGCGGAUCCCGGAGCCUCUCGCUCCCGCUCCCGCGGUGC
rnacentral:lncRNA from 1 species